AACGAAGAAGGAAAAAAUACCUGUACUCUGAAAAGUAUAAGACAUUACUGAAAGAAACUGAGGAGGGCACAAAUAAAUGGAAAGAUAUACCAUGUAA